ACUCCUACGGGAGGCAGCAGUAGGGAAUCUUCCACAAUGGACGGAAAGUCUGAUGGAGCAACGCCGCGUGAGUGAAGAAGGGUUUCGGCUCGGUAAAACUACUGUUGUUAAAGAAGAACGAUAUCUGAGAGUAACUGUUCAGGUAUUGACGGUAUUUAACCAGAAAGCCACGGCUAACUACGUGCCAGCAGCCGCGGGUAAUACGUAGGGUGGGCAAGCGUUGUCCGGAUUUAUUGGGGCGUAAAGCGAGCGCAGGCGGUUUUUAAGUCUGAUGUGAAAGCCUUCGGCUCAACCGGAAGAAGUGCAUCGGAAACUGGGAAACUUGAGUGCAGAAGAGGACAGGUGGGAACUCCAUGUGUAGCGGUGAAAUGCGUAGAUAUAUGGAAGAACACCAGUGGCGAAGGCGGCUGU
rnacentral:rRNA from 1 species